AUACGGAGGGGGUUAGCGUUGUUCGGAAUUACUGGGCGUAAAGCGCGCGUAGGCGGUGAGUAUAGUUAGGUGUGAAAGCCCUGGGCUUAACCUGGGAACGGCACUUAAAACUUGCUCGCUAGAGACCGGGAGAGGGUGGCGGAAUUUCCAGUGUAGAGGUGAAAUUCGUAGAUAUUGGAAAGAACACCAGUGGCGAAGGCGGCCACCUGGACCGGUACUGACGCUGAGGUGCGAAAGCGUGGGGAGCGAACAGGAUUAGAUACCCCAGUAGUCC
rnacentral:rRNA from 1 species